rnacentral:SRP_RNA from 2 species
UCCAGGUCCCGGGGGGCUUCGGCCCGCCAACCCCGCCAGGGCCGAAAGGCAGCAACGGUACGUGACGUCGUCGUCGCCUCGUCAGACCUGGAACA